GGAAUAUGUUGACAUUGAUGUGAAAUCUCGAGGACGUCACACCCUGAUGACGCUGACGCCCGCCCCACAACCAAGCGAUGCAGAAGAGACUUAUGACCCUGAAUUGAAGAUCCUUGGCGAAUACUGGGUUUUAGCAGUGGACGAAGACUGCCUACUUGUUGCUUUUGCAUCGGACUCAAAUGGAAAGCUCCAUUGUAUGUUGUGGUCUGUCGACAAUGAUAAACCAAAAGAAGAGACGAAUUGCUUUCUCCACCUUAACUCUUGGUGCACAGACAUGUACAAUGUGUGGGAACAUGACGAACCGUGCACGCAAUACGAUGCGAAAAUGAAAAGACAAGACGAACUGGCACUCGAGGAAGAGCUUAGUAAAAUAAAUUGAUAUAUUA